rnacentral:tRNA from 1 species
GUGGGUAUAGCUCAGUGGUAGAGUGCAUGCUUAGCAUGCACAAGAUAUUGGGUUCAAUCCCCAGUGCCUCCA